AUAUUUUUGACACAAGCUUUUAUUGUUGUCAGAGAGAUCUAAUUGCAUUCAAUGCGUGACAAAAAAUCGUGUUCUAUUGUGGAUGUCGUACGAGGCGACCAUAGCCAGCAGAUGACUAUAGCAUUCCCAAAGAUCGUUGUUGUCAAAUCGCAGCCGAAACUUCAACAUUUUAACCUAAAAAUUACCACCUACCAUAACAACUUUGUCCAUGUAUAUGUGAUUGAUCAUGCUUGUUACAUGUUCAAUUAUAGGUAUACAAAUAAAUACAUAAUCUUUAUUCAUUGCAUGGUAUAAAAUAAACGUAAUGCUAACAAUUUUGACUUUCAUAUUGCCAAGAUCUAUUGAAUUUUUAUUCGCUAUGUUGUUGAAAGGAUUAGUUUUUCUGCUGGCGUUUCAAUUGAUUCAAUCCAGACCGUGCCACGCUCGACUACUUGAAGAUCAAAUUGUGGAAUUUGAACGCACCAACCCAGAUUACCCCAUUCUAAUAUAUUCUUAUUCGCCAUAUGUAAAAUAUCCUUUAUACGAUUUCAAUGACUUCUUAUCAAGACUAUUAUCAGAUGAUACAAAUUCCGAAUCAAGAUCUUCGAAAGGACAUCCCAGAUUUCGUAAGAGACCUAAUAAAGGAAAUAAGCGUAGAACCAAGCACAUAAUAUUUAAUAUACAUUCAUAACAUAUACAUUAAAUUUAUGUGAAAUUUU